rnacentral:rRNA from 1 species
CCUACGGGAGACAGCAGUGAGGAAUAUUGGUCAAUGGACGCAAGUCUGAACCAGCCAUGCCGCGUGCAGGAAGACGGCUCUAUGAGUUGUAAACUGCUUUUGUACGAAGGUAAACGCAGAUACGCGUAUCUGUCUGAAAGUCUCGUACGAAUAAGGAUCGGCUAACUCCGUGCCAGCAGCCGCGUUAAUACGGAGGAUUCAAGCGUUAUCCGGAUUUAUUGGGUUUAACGGGUGCGUAGGCGGUCGGAUAAGUUAGAGGUGAAAUCCCGAGGCUCAACUUCGGAAUUGCCUUUGAUACUGUCAGGCUAGAGAGUAGUUGCGGUAGGCGGAAUGUAUGGUGUAGCGGUGAAAUGCUUAGAGAUCAUACAGAACACCGAUUGCGAAGGCAGCUUACCAAGCUACUUCUGACGUUGAGGCACGAAAGCGUGGGGAGCAAACAGGAUUAGAUACCCGAGUAGUC